CAUAGCUGUCCUGCAAUGCGACGGGAUCCAAAACCACCUGAAGAUUCCAUCCAACUCCUAUUCCGACACGUCCACGUCGUGCAGGGUGGUAACAUGGGCCCAAGUCCAGACACUCGGCAGGAUGAAGGCUCAGGGUUAAGAAGGAGGGG
rnacentral:ribozyme from 1 species